AUAAUUUUCUAUUAAACAAAUUUCGAAAAAAUUUAAUAUUUUCCGAGACAAUGAGUGUCUUAUGAUAGAUUGAUUACUUUGUAUUUCAUUAUAUAUGUAUAUAUAUAUUGAAAUAUUUUGGAGUUUUUGAAAAUACAUUAUUAAUAGUUAAGGUGACACUGGUAUAGGUAUAAUUAUAUAAUUAUAUUAUAUAGCUAUAUGAUUCACGUGAGUAGGCACACUGCAUGGGGCAAAAAAUACAUUCUAGCAAUAAAUGGGUUUUCUCCACCGUUAGAAAUAAUUAUAUAUAUUCAAACUUUAGAAGGUUACUGCAUACAUUUUUUUGAAAAUACUAUUAUAUAUUAGAAAUUCAAAUUAUUUCAUAAAAUAAAAAAAACUGGAAGGAUAUAGGUGGCAGGAGAAGUAAUUUAAAGCUUAAAUGUGAUGCGUAAUUAAGGUGUUAAAGGGAUAAUAAGCAGUAAUUAAUGGGGUAGAAAUUAUAAGGAAAGAUCGCUCCUCCAUUAGUUCUUUUUAUAAUAAAUAACGUUG